rnacentral:lncRNA from 1 species
GCAUCUGGAAGAUCAUCUCUGGGCUUGAUGUGUCUCAAAAUCAUCAGGCAAAGUGGCCCUGUCUCAGGGCGGUUCUGGAAAGUGCUCAGUCCACCCCAGUAUCUUCACCUGAGCAUUCUACUUUGUUGACUGGAUCUGGAUCAUCAAGGGCUGAGGAAGUUCUUCAGGCAGAAUGAGGAAGAUACAUAGAUGAACUAUCUGGAUAAGGAAAAGAGGAAGAACAUUUGAGACAAAUGGAUAGCUGGCAUGAAGUUUCCUCUUCUCCAGAACUAAGGGCUGCCACCUGUUCAGAGAACAAGUUCACUCUGGCUGGAAGUACAACACCUGGUCCCCUUUCCUUUGGGACCUGUCCUGGAAGACAUGUCUGCAGAGCUGAGUGAGGCUCCCUGCCCCGGCUGCUGUCCUGGCUUGCAGGAUCUGGGAACACAUACCCAGAAACAACUCCCCAUGCAUGUGCCUUGCCUUUCCUCACAUGCUUCCCAGAGAGCACAUAACAUACUUCAAGAAAACCAAAGAAAGAAAAAAUUGCCCUAAGAGUUCCGGAAUUGACCUCUGGCUACAAAGAGCACUGUGACUGGCUUACAAAGUUAUAAGAUUCUCUGACGAAACUCUUUGUGACCCAGAGCAACUACUUAAGAGUCUGUUACAAGGUGUACAGUGUAUUCUCUCUGUGAGCUUACAUCUGUGGGCUCCACAAAGGGCAUGCAUGCCAAAAGCCUGGGUACGUGGUAGUUCCCAGUGACUGAAUCUUUGCCCAUUGGAAAAGUGAGGAACAGAAGAAAAGUCAGGCAAAUAGUCUAUGAGCUGGCUAGGGAAUGAACACAGAAACCCACAAUGAAUGACACAAAAGACAUUCAGAGAGUGACUUAGGAGCACUUAGACCUCAGUGGGAUGCCUUCCUCAGACUCCUCCCCUCAGGGUUCAGGGAGCUCCAUGGAAGAGGACGAUCAGAGCCAGAGGGGACAGAUGUCUCAUGACUGGAAGGAAACAGUGUUCUCCAGACACAACAAGAUUGACGCACGUAUGAACUCAGACACUGUAGCAGCAUGCACAAUGCCUGUACAGGUUCAAGCCAGAUGGAUUCUGUUCCUGCUAGGAGGAAGUGGGCACAAGUUCCAUCUCUGACCAAGAAGUUAUCCAACCUCAAUCGAUAACUGCUUGCAAAGGAAAACUUAGAUGUUUCCAAUGGAGUUUCACUGGGAUUAUAAACCAACCACACUUCAGGGCAGGCCCCCUGCCCAGCAGUAGAUGGCUAAUACUAAAUGAAUCUAACGGUAUUUUUGUAGACUUUUGAUCUUACAAUGCUUUGUUUGAGUGUAUGUGUGUGUGUAUGUGUGUGUGUAUGUGUGUGUGUGUGUUACUGGUCUUUUACUAGUGUGUUAUGGUUUUUGAUUUUAUGGUUUUAUAUAUAUGUAUGUUUCUUGUGAUUUUUCUUUUAAAAUGUUAUUCUCUUCUCUUUUUUGCCUGUUUGUUUUUUAAACAAGAGAAAGAAAUCAUGUAGAUGGGUGGAUGGGGAGGCAGAGGGGAGCUGGGAGGAGCUGGCAGAGGGAGAUCAUAAUCAGAAUAUGUUGUAUGAAAAAAUAUUUUCAAUGAAAGAAUACAUUAAAAAACAAAC